GACGAACGCUGGCGGCGUGCUUAACACAUGCAAGUCGAACGAUGAAGCCGGAGCUUGCUCUGGUGAAUUAGUGGCGAACGGGUGAGUAACACGUGAGUAACCUGCCCUUGACUCUGGGAUAACUGCGGGAAACUGUAGCUAAUACCGGAUACGACCCUCGGAGGCAUCUCCUGGGGGUGGAAAGAAUUUCGGUCAAGGAUGGACUCGCGGCCUAUCAGCUAGUUGGUGAGGUAAAGGCUCACCAAGGCGACGACGGGUAGCCGGCCUGAGAGGGUGACCGGCCACACUGGGAAUGAGACCCGGCCCAGACUCCUACGGGAGGCAGCAGUGGUGAAUAUUGCACAAUGGGCGCAAGCCUGAUGCAGCAACGCCGCGUGAGGGAUGACGGCCUUCGGGUUGUAGACCUCUUUUAGCAGGGAAGAAGCGAAAGUGACGGUACCUGCAGAAAAAGCACCGGCUAACUACGUGCCAGCAGCCGCCGUAA
rnacentral:rRNA from 1 species